rnacentral:ncRNA from 1 species
ACGAGCCACAUGCAGGGAAACUUGCACGUGUGGUUCUGGCCGCUUCUUCUUUUUCGAGUUAGAAUAAAAAGAAAACAAUUUAGCAUCUUUGGUACAAUCUAUAUUUUCGCGAAAUGGAUCAUAAUAAAAUGGAUUUUUUUAUGGCAU